ACCACAGUUCAUCUGGAGCAAACAUUUGUGUCCAAACUGGACAGGCACACCACCAAACUUGUGGAGAUAUUUAGGAAGAAAGGCGGGAUUGCAGGAACGAAGAUAAGACCGAUGUUGGACUCACUAAGUGAGCAACAUAUCAAAGGCCGAAGAGACAUCAUCAUCCGUUGCUUGGUUGAGUUCCUUGGAGAGUCUGUAGAGGAGCUGAUCAAAGAAUACAAGGAUGUCAGCCAAGAGGCAGUGAGGAGGACUGCAGUCAACACUUGAUGAAAGUCAUCGUCAUCUGUCAGAACCUGGAACAGGAAAGCCAAAACCUCAGCUACGU